rnacentral:tRNA from 1 species
CCUUCGAUAGCUCAGUUGGUAGAGCGGUGGACUGUAGUUUGUUUAGGAAGUUGAAAUCCAUAGGUCGCUGGUUCAAAUCCGGCUCGAAGGA